CUGAGAAUAUUUUCAUAUCGGCCAGACAGUGCGACGUCGUUCACAUCGCACAAGUGACACAAUGAUCUAUGCCCUCCCCAUUCGAUCCUUUACAAUUGCGACUAUUUGCUCCAGAUACACAGUGCACCUUUAACUUCUGGAGACCACUCUCUGCAACAAGUUCAAACAAUCAUUUCUCAAGAUAGUGAUAGUGAUAGCUGGCAAUUAAUAAGAAGUUUGGAUUGAUCGACGAGGGAAUUCGGCAUGUCCAUCCGUCCCACAGUGGUUCCCCCAUAGGCCAAAAAUCAAAAAAUCCAUCACAACAAAUUUUUGAUCGAAACUUGCAUGUCAUUUUGUCCUGUGAAAAUAUUUUGAUUAAACUAAUUAUUUUGUGUAUUU